ACAAACUCCAAGCAGGAGAAGCAUGAAGAAAACUACAUCAAGUUAUAUCAUCACCAAUUUGCUCAAAACCAGUGAUAAAGAGAAAAUCUUUAUAACAGCCAGAGAAUAAAACAUGCAUUACAUACAGAGGAACAAAGAUAAGGAUGACAGUAGAUUUCUUGUAGGAAACAGUGCAAGUGAGGAGGCAACAGAACCACAUUUUAAAAUUGUUAGAAGAGCAAAGGUGUCAGCCUAUGAUUCUUCAUCCAGUGAAAAUAUCUCUCAAAAAUGAAGGUGAAAUAAUGACUUUUUCUGAAGUACAAAAGCUGAAAGAAUGUAUCACCAGCAUACUUCUCACUACACAAAAUAUUCAAGGGAGUCCUUUGAGGAGAAGGAAAUGAUUCCAGUUGGAAAUAUGGAUAUACACCAAUGGUUCUCAACUGAGGGUGAUUUUACUCUGGCCCUCUGGACAUGUGGCAAUAUCUGCAGAUAUUUUUAUUUGUUGCAAUUUGGGGGAGAGUGUGUGGAAUGCUAUAGCUACUAGUGGAUAGAGGCCAGGGAUGCUACUAAACAUUCUACAAUGCACAUGACUUCCCCCCACGACAAAGAAUGUCAAUAGUAAUGAGGAUGAAAAGUCUCUGGUCUAAACAGAGGAAU